GCCUGGUGGCUCAGUCGGUUGAGUGAUUGACUUCAGCUCAGGUCAUGAUUCUGUGUUCGUGGGUUUGAGACCCACCUCAGGCU
rnacentral:tRNA from 1 species